rnacentral:ncRNA from 1 species
GUCGUCGCGAGGCGGGGUGUGAAGGAAGCUGUAAGCAAAGUGCCGGCUCGACGAACAGGAAGCGCAUGCGGCGUAGAUGCAACAGGUGGAUGGCACGAAGGUCACGCGU